rnacentral:rRNA from 1 species
CCUACGGGUGGCAGCAGUGGGGAAUAUUGGACAAUGGGCGAAAGCCUGAUCCAGCCAUGCCGCGUGUGUGAAGAAGGCCUUCGGGUUGUAAAGCACUUUCAGUGGGGCAGAAAGCCUUGGGGCUAAUACCCUCGAGGAAGGACAUCACCCACAGAAGAAGCACCGGCUAACUCCGUGCCAGCAGCCGCGGUAAUACGGAGGGUGCGAGCGUUAAUCGGAAUUACUGGGCGUAAAGCGCGCGUAGGCGGUCUGAUAAGCCGGUUGUGAAAGCCCCGGGCUCAACCUGGGAACGGCAUCCGGAACUGUCAGGCUAGAGUGCAGGAGAGGAAGGUAGAAUUCCCGGUGUAGCGGUGAAAUGCGUAGAGAUCGGGAGGAAUACCAGUGGCGAAGGCGGCCUUCUGGACUGACACUGACGCUGAGGUGCGAAAGCGUGGGUAGCAAACAGGAUUAGAUACCCGUGUAGUC